CACAUAUGUAGAGAAUUGUUUAUGUGUGUGUACCAAAAAGCCUAUAUAAUAAAUGUAUCAUAGUACUAUGGCAGAGCACUGUGUGUGAUGCUGAAUGAAUGAACAUGGGCUGAAUGCACGGUGUGUCUCAUCUCAUUUAUCCAACUGUGACGUCAUACUUGGGCAGACAGACCCUGGGUCCUCAGAGAGGCUGCUGGACAGACCUCUGUACCUUCCCAAUACGGGGAACAGGAAGCCAGUUGCUGGAGGGACUGGUUGAAGUGUAGCACUUCCUCCUUCUCGACAGAGCCCAAUGGAGUCUAGACCUGACCCACACUGCCCAGAUCUUUGGAUUAAGAAGGAAAGGACAAAAAUGGCCAAUAAGGAGUGGAAGCACAAGAGAAUGUUCCAACUUGCAUUAUUGGAAGGAGUUUCCUUAUUUGGAGUUCUAUGUGUGAAUGAUGUAAAAAAUCCAGGUCUUCUCCUCUUGAUUAUCUCCAAGAAACCUUUCCAAGCUAAAAUUAUAUGGAAACAAAAAGACCUCUUGUUAUGUCA
ensembl:lncRNA